AUUGAACGCUGGCGGCAUGCCUUACACAUGCAAGUCGAACGGCAGCACGGGUGCCUGCACCUGGUGGCGAGUGGCGAACGGGUGAGUAAUACAUCGGAACAUGUCCUGUAGUUGGGGAUAGCCCGGCGAAAGCCGGAUUAAUACCGCAUACGAUCUACGGAUGAAAGCGGGGGACCUUCGGGCCUCGCGCUAUAGGGUUGGCCGAUGGCUGAUUAGCUAGUUGGUAGGGGAAAGGCCUACCAAGGCGACGAUCAGUAGCUGGUCUGAGAGGACGAACAGCCACACUGGGACUGAGACACGGCCCAGACUCCUACGGGAGGCAGCAGUGGGGAAUUUUGGACAAUGGGCGAAAGCCUGAUCCAGCAAUGCCGCGUGUGUGAAGAAGGCCUUCGGGUUGUAAAGCACUUUUGUCCGGAAAGAAAUCCUUGGCUCUAAUACAGUCGGGGGAUGACGGUACCGGAAGAAUAAGCACCGGCUAACUACGUG
rnacentral:rRNA from 1 species